GCUGAGGCAGAGAGAGAGCAUCUGUGAGCCAAAUUCACCGGUGCUGGGUUUUAAGGAGAAGAGCCACGAGUGACACGUGGAGGAGUCCCAGAGGCUUAGUGGUAUAGAUCCACUGUCUCUUUUGGGUAUUUAAUUUAUGAUUUAUAAUGUGUUAUAUUGCCAAUAUUAGGGCUUUUUUGUUUAUUGUCAAUUAUAUGAAUAUAUAAAUGUAAUCAUGCCUUUCAAACUAUUUCUAUUUUUGGUACAAUUUGGAUGACUGUAAUUUUAAUAUUUGGUUUACUUUGGAUUGGUUAAAAUGGCAUGAUUAUAAGGCCAAAUAACUGGCUUGUGUUGAAAAUUGACUAAAUUGCUUAUUUUA